UACGUAGGGUGCAAGCGUUGUCCGGAAUUAUUGGGCGUAAAGAGCUCGUAGGCGGUUUGUCGCGUCGAAUGUGAAAACCCGGGGCUCAACCCCGGGCCUGCAUUCGAUACGGGCAGACUAGAGUUCGGUAGGGGAGUCUGGAAUUCCUGGUGUAGCGGUGAAAUGCGUAGAUAUCGGGAGGAACACCUGUGGCGAAAGCGGCUCUCUGGACCACAACUGACGCUGAGGCGCGAAAGCUAGGGGAGCAAACAGG
rnacentral:rRNA from 1 species